UGUUACCAAGUCUUGUUUCCCUGGUUACUUUUAGUUGCCUCGCCUUCUAAGUGGGGAAGUCGUUCCUCUGUCUGACUCUCUAUAACGUCCAACCCUCCAGGUCUUUCUUGGGCGACACAGAAAGGAAACUGACCAUCUGAGAGACAGCCGCAGGUCGCCAAGCCUGGAUCAAGUUACACGGGGUCCCACGAAGUUCCUGAGAACCGAUGGGGAGCAUUAAGCAGCUCAAGAAAGGUUUCUAGAAUGCAGCUUCACCAGCCUGAGACACAGGUGCCCUUGCCAGCUCUCCCAGAUUAGAACAGGUUCUCCUGGCCUCCUCCCAAGUGCCUCUGACUAACACAGAAAAGUAUUUUUCCACUGCAAACCUGCAGGCAGGCAGCAGACUGAGGGCAGAGAGUGCAUCUGCAGUCCUGUACGGACCAUCUGGGAAGUUAUUCCGCUGCCAUCCCUACUGCCCCGGCUACACACCUGCCCGUGAGGACGCCAGUCUCAAGCAAUGCUUCUCUGCCUUGACAAUACAGGCACUUGGACUGCACAGGUUUCUUGUGCCAAGCUGGGGGCAUCUUGCCACCCCGCAAGGUCAGAAUAUUCAGUGGCACCCUUGACCUCCACCCACUGAAUCUGACAUCCCCCAGUUGUCACAGCCACUAAUGUCUCCAGGCAAUGCAGAUGUCCACUGCAGGGCAAGAGUCACCUCUUGGUGAAGCUUUGAUCUUGAGACCUUAGAGAAGAAGCGUAAAGUGUCUGUCCUGCUGCACACAAACUCUCUCGGGUCAGGCUCACACCACCACUGCGUCCGUGUAAGCAGCUGUGUGCCGCUGCAGUCCUCCACUGGAGCUUCAGGAACAACCGGAGUCAAACAACCCCUGGUACUGCUGAGCCAGUUGUGACCCUGCAAGGAAAACUUGUUCCCAUUACUGUGAGCUGCUGAGUCUGAUUAAAUGGAAACCCUGGGUGCUUCUUCUCAAUGACAUCGGGCCAGGGCCAGGGCCAGGGCUGCCGCGGCUGCUGCGAGGAGCACAGGGUGGUGAAUCGGGAUCCUCCACUCGCCCCCAAUUCAGUAUAACACCCAGACUUUAACCAUUUCACCCAGAAGAAAAGGGAACAGGGCAAGGUACAUACACAAGCAAGCUGAAUUAGCAAUUUAAUUAAACAGCUGAACCAUUACCAAAAAAAAAAAAAAAAAAAAAAAUGCUCUCAAGUGGGGAUGGAAACUGAAGCUGAGCUCCCAAGCAGCUGGAGUGACUCAGUGCCUCAGCGCCCUUCAAGGAUGCAGCUGCCAAUCUCCCACCCCGGGGCUGGGCCCUGGCCCCACAAGAGCUCUGCUUCCACUACAGCGCUUCAAAGAACCACCACCUCUGUCUUUCCUCGUUAGCCACUUAACCAGGUACAGAGAUCACCCACACCCUCCCCGUGUGGGAGCAGGAGUGUUCUGCUGACCACACUAGUGAAGACUACCCAUAGCCGCCUGCCUGCUCACACCCGAUCACUCGGCCUGCCACUACGGCUCAGUCGGCUCACUGCCUCGCUGCCGCCUUUCGCUCUGUUGUGAGCUCCGUGCUUGCCUGUCUCAUACUGGAAUGGGACCGAGUUCUGAUAUGGGUUUGCCACAUGUAAGGGUCUCCUUAAAGGCACAUAAACAGACCUGCCCACUUACGGGUGGCUGGACGGUGGGCAAACGGAUAGAUCGGCGGAUGGGUAGACUCAACGUUUUCUAUCCCUAUGCUCAUGCAAUCUGAAGCUCUUUAAGGGCAGAAACAAUUUCCCCUCCUAACGGACAACACACUUCCCCGAGAGCAUUCUCCAACCCCACAACAUCGACAGUACUAUGUGUUGCCCUUAGCUGGGAUACCAUUCCGAAGUGAUCGUCACACUUUGGAAGGAUCAAUUAAAAUCAUCACAGACACAAAUGCUCCCAGAUCUGUGAAUACGAAUGCACACGGCAUGUGUGACUUACUGAAGAGAGCUGACGCUAAGAGAAAAACCUGAGGGCAGGAAAGUUCUGGAAACGCAGUCAACAGGUGUUUAGGAGCCUUCUUCAAUGGAGCCAGCAAGGCCAGAGAACUCCUGAGAACCCUGGAGGUUCAGAAGGCUUUGCUGUAACGUCAAACUGCCCGAGAAACUGCAGAUCAGCAGCAACUCCUGGACUGCAGGGGCCACGAAAAGCCAAAAUCCAAGAAGAGAGGAAUAUGGCGGCCAAGAAAAGCCUGAGCUAAGGAGAGACGAAAGCCAAUGGAAAGAUAAAGAAGCAAAGACCUCCCAGGCAUGGGGGGGGGGGGUCCCCCUGAGGAAUACCAGGGCUCAAUCAGUAUAUACAGUGCAGAAGAGUCACCCCCAAGUUUCAAUCAGAAUUUCACGCCAGCUAUGACUCACUUUGAAAUAUUUACCAAUACUUUCUGAUGUUGUUUUAACUCAGAUCAGGUGGGAAUGAAAAUAAAGCCAUCUCUUCAGCCAUGACGAGGCAACAGCUCACCGGUACCCUGGCCCAAUCUCCCGGUGAUGUUGGCAGUCACAGACAUCCUCUCAAAACCCCAAGGACUCUUGAGCAGAAUGAGUUCACCAAUGCAACCUUGCAUUUCCAAGUGCAAAGCUGUAAUCCAUGGAGGAAAAGCCACACCCAGCUGAUGGCAGAAGGAGAUGCCAGGUCCUCCGUGUCCCAGUGCUUAAAGUCCCUCCCCCUGUCCCCUUUGUCCCCAACCCCAAGUACUAGUGAGUGGACAGCUAUUCUCACCAAUCCUAAAUGCUCUGCUGCACCCUCACCUGUCUUAGCAACCAGAUGCGUCCAACCACUCCAGACAGCAGUGACCUUUUCAUCCUGGAAGUAAUGUGCUUCUACUCUCUGGGGCAGAGGAAGGAAGGUGGCGAGGGAGGCCAGCUGCCCAUGCUUGUUACGGCCCCAGACAUACAGCUCUCCUGUAUCUGGAAGAGAGGUGAAUGGGGGGUAAGGAACAUGACCCACAAGAGUAGAGGACAACUCAGAAAAAGGAACAGCUAAAAGGGCUCAUUUCCUACCCACAACACAGCAUUUAGUGGGGCCACGCACAAUAUGAAAUCUAUGUAACACACAAUCUAAUGUAAAACUUGCAAAACUCUGUACAUAAA